CCCGCAUAAUUAUCAGCUCCACCUUUCUCCACGGUUCGGCUAGGCUUGGCUCAUAAUCGGUGCCACGCCUCAAAAUAAUUUUCACUUCAUCUCGGUCUCUGCCUCUUUCAUCUCUAUCUUGAAACUUUUGCAUCUGAAUCUUAAGUGUGGCUGUGCAAUCAUAGGAUUCAUAGCUUUCUGCUAUAGGAUUCAUAGAAGGAGAGACAUGUGGGAAACGAUAGAGAUCUAAAGAGGUGAAAGAGGUGGUUGAACAUUUUUGUUUUCAUAUAAUACAAUCCAAAGAUUGUCAUAGUAUGCAAUUAAGGACUCAAUUUAUCAUGUCAUGGUGUACGAUCGCAUAAAAAGGGUACAACCUGAAGGGAAAUUUUACUUGCAUUAUCUCUUUUUUGGGAUCUAUCUUCAUGUUUAGCUCCAUUUUAACACUAUUAACU